rnacentral:rRNA from 1 species
CCAGACAGCCAGGAUGUUGGCUUAGAAGCAGCCAUCAUUUAAAGAAAGCGUAAUAGCUCACUGGUCGAGUCGGCCUGCGCGGAAGAUGUAACGGGGCUAAACCAUGCACCGAAGCUGCGGCAGCGACACUAUGUGUUGUUGGGUAGGGGAGCGUUCUGUAAGCCUGUGAAGGUGUGCUGUGAGGCAUGCUGGAGGUAUCAGAAGUGCGAAUGCUGACAUAAGUAACGAUAAAGCGGGUGAAAAGCCCGCUCGCCGGAAGACCAAGGGUUCCUGUCCAACGUUAAUCGGGGCAGG